UGAGGAAUAUUGGUCAAUGGACGGAAGUCUGAACCAGCCAAGUAGCGUGCAGGAUGACGGCCCUAUGGGUUGUAAACUGCUUUUGUAUGGGGAUAAAGUUAGGGACGUGUCCCUAUUUGCAGGUACCAUACGAAUAAGGACCGGCUAAUUCCGUGCCAGCAGCCGCGGUAAUACGGAAAGUCCAGGCGUUAUCCGGAUUUAUUGGGUUUAAAGGGAGCGUAGGCUGGAGAUUAAGUGUGUUGUGAAAUGUAGACGCUCAACGUCUGAAUUGCAGCGCAUACUGGUUUCCUUGAGUACGCACAACGUUGGCGGAAUUCGUCGUGUAGCGGUGAAAUGCUUAGAUAUGACGAAGAACUCCGAUUGCGAAGGCAGCUGACGGGAGCGCAACUGACGCUUAAGCUCGAAGGUGCGGGUAUCAAACAGGAUUAGAUACCCUGGUAGUCCGCACAGUAAACGAUGGAUGCCCGCUGUUGGUACCUGGUAUCAGCGGCUAAGCGAAAGCAUUAAGCAUCCCACCUGGGGAGUACGCCGGCNACGGU
rnacentral:rRNA from 1 species